rnacentral:rRNA from 1 species
UAAAACGUAGGAUCCGAGCGUUAUCCGGAAUCGCUGGGCGUAAAGGGCGUGUAGGCGGUUUAGCAAGUUGGUCAUGAAAGCUCCCGGCUCAACUGGGAGAGGUUGUCCAAUACUGCUAGACUAGAGGGCAAGAGAGGGAGGUGGAAUUCCCGGUGUAGAGGUGAAAUGCGUAGAUAUCGGGAGGAACACCAGUGGCGAAGGCGGCCUCCUGGCUUGCAUCUGACGCUGAGACGCGAAAGCGUGGGGAGCAAACGGGAUUAGAAACCCCGGUAGUCCACGCCGUAAACGAUGUCAACUAGGUGUUGGUGGUAUAAAAUCCAUCAGUACCGGAGCUAACGCAUUAAGUUGACCGCCUGGGGACUACGAUCGCAAGAUUA